ensembl:lncRNA
AUGAUGAGGAUCAUACUACUGCUUCUGGUCACCCUGACGGGGCCUUUCUGUACCUUUACCCAAGCAAGUACUCUGGUGGUGCCAACAGCUAUUGGUUCAACUCCACAACCAAAUCUUGCAUCAGAUUCACCUACUUUCACAUACACAACAGAGGUAACAUCUCCUCAAGAUGCUGUUUCAACGUCAGAGCCUGCUCCUGAGGUUACAGAAGCAGCUGCCACGACAGAAGAAGUGCCAAUGGUUUCCACAACAGCACCAGUGAUACAGUCAGAAGCCCCAUUCGAAACAACAGCCCUAACAGAUACAACACAAUCAACAGAAGCUGUACCUAUAGAGACAACCAGCCCUGAAGCCACUACUGUCUUUGCAGAAGCAGAAAUGCCUGAGAAAGUUGAAGACAUAGAAUCAAAGACUGCAGAUGAAGAGGUGGAGGAUGAAGCCCCUGAAAAGAAAGGCACGACAGGAAGAGAAAAAGAAGAAAUCCGGGAAGUUCUGAACUAUUGUUCUGAUGUUAAAAACAAUCCAAGCAGCACUCUCACCAUCCAUCCAGGACUGUACGGGGAGCAGGAGAGUGUCCCAUCCCCUUUCCCAUUGAAAAAGAUGCCCUCCCACAAAAACACCUUCCCAGUGCCCACAAGUUAUUUUAUUUAGCCUGAAAAACCUUAUUUAUCCCAAUAGUGGGAGGCCACAGGAAGUUACAGUAUCUUUUUUUAAUGCAUAUUAAUGUAACAGGAGAUUAAUGAAUGUUCAAUUUGUAAAGGGCCUAAUAAACAAAAACAAACAAACAGCUGCCCAUGCAAGCAAAAGCUUGUAUGUUUUUAUAUCAUACAGAAAAAAAAACUAAUCCAAAAUCAUUAUUCUUUUCCCAUUCUACAGAUGUGUCCAUUUGGACUAUGACGCAUUAUGAACAGUCUUUGAACUGUCAUAAGCAGAUGCUGAGGACACAUUCUGUUCUCAAGAUGUGUAACCGGCUUUAACUAAUAAAUAUUUUUUAAAUUAUUAGUUAAGGGGAGCAGCACACAAUAAGUGCUUGAGAUUUACUCAUUUGAAAGUGCACUAGUACAGAGUGACUUGACUGUGUUGUUCUUAACUGUCACCCAUUCCAAAAGUGACAUCAUUUCCUCUGGAACGCAUCAUUUAUUGUGUGUUCCAAUCCGCUUAGCUCCAGCGCACAGCUGCUAUUGGCAUGUAUCUCUAAAAUCCUGAUGUUCCUCAGCCUGGACUACAUCAUUUUAACAGCAUACUACAGACAUUUUGCAUGGUAUAGUUGAGUUGUUUGCAUUUCUUUUUGUCAGUGUUGAGGUUUGUGUUUCUUUCUGAUGUUCGAGAGCAUUGCUAUCCUGGGCUUUGCUUUAAGAGAUCAGUAUUAGGUGCACUGAAUGAUGAAGAAUAAAUGUUUAGUAUUGACAAGACACUGCAGUUGUUUGCAACGAUAUUUUGUGUUUCUUGCUUGCCAGAUUCCUCUUUAUUUCUCGUUACUCCAUGAUCUCAUUUUGCCAUUUGAUGUCAGAAUCCAGUUAAAGCCAAGAGUUUGACUUUGUGUUUUGGGGUUUUGUUUUACUUAUUGUUCAAUCAAUUUCAAUAAAAAAGUUCCAAAGUAUGUUACGCUGCCAUAUUGUGUUGUUGUGGAUCCCAGAUAACAUUGUCUGUUUAUCUGUGUUUACUUUUCAGCCCCUUUUACUCAGCAUUCCAGCUUUACACACACAUUUACGCCCAUGCACUGUCUCUUUCUCACACAAACACACACCCACACAUUCCCUUUCUCUGUCUCUCUAAUCCAAUAGGUUAUAAAGACUGUAAAAGACAAGGGAGAUAGAGGAAGAGAUAUGCAGAGUCAAUGAAUAAAGGCAUCUUUGUAAAUAUGACUAUGCACUUAAGUGCCCUCUCUGGUUAAGUAACGUAAAUAGCAUGAGAGUCCCAAACAGCUGGCCCCAAAACGUAUUUGGACAUUGACUUUCAUUUGGAAAUGGACCAUAACAGUUUCUUUUUUCCAUUCAUUUUUCAAGUAUCUGUACUUUAUCAGAUUCUUUUUUUAUUUUAUUUUUGGCCUUCUCAUUACUUUUCCAUUUUAGAUUCCAAAGAUGUCUAACGUUUUACUUCACUAAUAAUGCACACGUUUUAUUAAAGUCAGCAUGAAAAUGAAAAUUCACCAAAUCUAAUUUGUAAACGGACUUUGUUAUUGAUCUUUUCCAUAUUGAUCUAUUUAAUUGUGUUUUUGACCUUGUAAUGUUUAAUUAAAAUGGCAUAUCUCAAUCUUCCUGUGAAAAUGGCCAAUUGGAACAUGUUGAUAUUUAAUAUGUUGUAGUAAAUUGUAGUUUGCUUAUUUUGGUCUUGAGAUAGUCCUUCAUUACUGAUCAUUUAUAAAUCUAAAUUAUAUAAUUUUUAACAAAUAUCUCAUUCUCUCCUUAUUAAUCAGAAAGCCCUCUAACCAAAUUAUGACAGUAACUUCUGCGUGUGUGUUUAAGUGGGUGAGCAUAAAUGUAUGAGGCUGAAUGUGGUUUUAGGCAGUAGCCCAGCUACUCUCUCUCUUUAGCUAUGAACAAUGGACUCUUUUAGUGGGAGACUCACUCUGACGUCCUGCUCACAGUCUGAUCUCUAUAACCGUUUGUUUGUGAUCCAAUGAUUUCUACAUUCCUAAUGAGAAGGGCACUUCCUGACAAGUAAAAGCCUUCAUGUACACUAACAUGAACAUUAGGAAAGACCUAGAAGCGCCAAAACACACAAAACAAUGUUUGCAUAUACACACACACACAAUGAAAUUCAAAUAUACACACAAUUUUGCAAAAUGUAAAAAUAAAAUCUCAAUGACAUAACAGGACUGUAAGCAGCUUAGGUAAAAUAAAUGCCUGCAGAAAAUAAUGAAAACAGACCGUCUGGAAAUCCUAGUCUUGCUAACACAAACACACACAUAAACAUGUAUGCUAAACUUAAAAAUGACCUAAAGUGAACCAUAUCAUAUGUGUAUCAGAGAAGAAUGUGAGUGUUUAAGGGAGGACAGCUAAUACAGCAACCUCAUGUUUACUUCAGAGCCUGGAUACACACGUAUAUGCAGCUUCAGGUCACUCCCCAGGUCUUGAGAAACACUCACUCUCAGUGCCAUCCACUCACUUUGGUUUAUUUGUAGGGAGUACAGUACCAGUGAGAAACUCGACUCAUCUCUAUAGCUUCACAAAUUCACAUUCUGCUGUAAAGCAGCUCUAACAAGUCAAUAGUGUCAUUCUACAGUUCAAGUCGGUUAAGUAUUUUAACUGUAAAAGUCAUCAGUUACUGUAUAUACAGUGUAAAUGUGCAUAUGCAUGUACAGUAUGUGCAAGAGCCACUGCACUCUGAACAAGCAAAAGACACACAAGAUUAGUGUUUUACCCAGUAAAUAUAAACCAUAAACCUGUGACAUUUAAUAUUUUGCCUUCAUGGUUAAUUAUGUUUGUCUUUCUACGAACAAAAUAUAUAUAUAUAUAUAUAUAUAUAUAUAUAUAUAUAUAUAUAUAUAUAUAUAUAUAUAUAUAUAUAUAUAUAUAUAUAUGAACAAAAUCAAAAAUUUGAGCCAGCAAAGUUUCCGAAAUUUGGUUGAUUUGACAUGGAAUGAAUGACCAUAUGUGUAAAUUGAACAUAUAUGUGUGUAAAUGUAAUCAUUUAAUAAAGGGUUCUACAUUCAUGUGUGUGUGUGUUAAAUGCCAUCUAAAAGUACAUUACAUGAGAAGCUGAUGUCAGGAACCAGACUGACAUUUGAAUUUACUGGACAGCUGAAUGCUGGGUGUGUGUGGAUGUGUAAGCAUGUUUGUGUGUGUGUUGGGUGGGUGUCAGGAUGGUGGCUGUUUAGCUCACAUCUGGUGUUCUGUGAUAUGUAAGUCUCUCUCCCUCUCUUUUGUUAAGCAGUUCUUUGUGCCAUGUGGACGGAACCUGCAUUGUGUGUGUGUGACACUAAUGGCAGCUCAGAAGUGCUUAUUGUUUAGUGCGUCUGUGUAUGUGUGUGUGGCAGUGGUCAGUAGUUGGCACAAACAUGCUAUCUACUGCAUAGAUAAGUGUCCUGUAAAUUGUUCUGCAUUCAUGUUUGUAUUUUCAGCACAUGAAUGAAAUGGAUAAAAGAAAUAUUGGGCAAUUACAUUUUUUCUCUUGUUUGAGACACUUUAGCCAUCUAUAUAUGCACAAACCCCCAUGUAUCACACCAAAAUGUGUAUCCUGUGAGUCUUUGCAAAAAAUAAAUAAAUAAAAAGUUAAUUCAUCUAAUGGAGAACACUUCAUUUAUGUAAACUGUAUUUAUAUAUACACUGUAUACCAUGAUUUAAGUCAUGGCAAGCCAUCCUUUUCUGGAGAUAAUUUACAAAAAAUCCAG